GCGCCUGCCUCCUGCCCGGCUGUCUCUUGAUCUUUCUCCUCCCCCCUCCGCUACCUCACUCCUCAUUCUUUUCCUCCCUCCCUGGAUCCCCUCUCUCGUCAAGCUCGCCGUUGCAACGCCAGCCGCAGGGACCAGCGGGAUCCGCCAGCCGUCGGUCCGGAUCGACGCCCAUGCCUCCGGCUCCGGCAUGCACGCCUGCUAGACACCGCCGUGAACCACCUCGUUUCUCCGAACCUCUUGAACCAAGGCUGCCUUUCUCGGUUCCAUCAGCCGCCGUUGCGACGCCGCGGCGGUCAUCCUCCUCCCCGAGCAACUACAGGGACCGUGACGGGCUCUGCGUCUGGACAACGGACUCGAAGCCGCGGGUCCCUCCUACUUCUUCCUCGACCACUGACCGCCAUUGACGUCGUCCGGAACUCCCUGCCAUCCAUCCUCUCGCCUCCCUGAUCCGUCCGACCAGGCCGCCAUGAACAACAAGGACAUUCAUGAGGGUUUGAAUUUUUCUACUGCUGAUGAUGAAUCCUCCUUUGGAAUCUUUUAAAUAAAGUUUUCAAAAGAUGGCCGUGAACUUGUUGUUGGAAACAGCAAUGAGUCAAUAUGUAUUUAUGAUCUUGGAGGAAACAAAGUGACAGAGCGAAUUCAUGCUCAUGUGGUAUGAAAGUCAAAUGCACUCUUUCUUUUGUUGCUUCCAUAACCUGUCCUUACAAUGUACACAACACUGUUUGGUGAUAGACAUAUCUUCUUAGGUCAUAUUCGGAUGUACUUCUAAAAUCAUUUCAAGUAUCUAAUGUGAGCAUUGGUACUGUUUGCAUGCAAAGAAAAUUAAAGAAAAGAGUUUGUUUGUAAGAUUUUA